rnacentral:tRNA from 1 species
GCGCGGGUGGUUUAGUGGUAAAAUCCAUCGUUGCCAAGAUCACAGUAUCGAUGGGCCCCGGGUUCGAUUCCCGGCCCGCGCA